AUUACAUUGGGUUUUAGUGCAGUGUCACGGCAUGAAGCAUGUUAAAAAAGGGUAGUUGCAACAAAGAGGAAAAUUUUAGGGACAUCCACUUCUUAAAAGUUAAAGUACUUUUCUGAGUGAUAAAGUGUACUCUGAAGGUGUUUUGGACUCGUUUGUUGCUAUUGUAAAAGUCCAAUGUCAUCCACUCUACGAACCCUGAUGGCAGGAAACCAGAUAACUUCCUUUAUUUUCAUCAGCUCUGUGUUGGUACAUACUCACUCAGCUGAUAUCUACUCUGCUGUGAUGCCUCAGACAGUAACAGCUCUGACAGGCUCUUGUGUGCAGAUUCCUUGCACAUUCCACAUCUCUGAUUUUGAGGACAAACGUAACAAGGCAGAAUCUAUUUAUGGGAUCUGGCUAAAAAACAAAUCACAGUUUGGAGAAAAAGACAGUUUUAUAGCGUUUAACAGCAGUGAAAACAUCAUUAGAGGAUUCAGUGACAUAGAGAUAACUGGAAAUCUCAGUGAAAGGAACUGCACAACUGUCUUCAAUAACAUCAUGAAGAAUCAUUCAGACCUCUAUUACUUCAGACUGGAAAUGGAGCCAGUGUUCAGAGUAACAUUUAACCCCAGUACAGAUGUUACAAAAAAGACUGUGAGGAUCAACGUCAGAGAUUCACCACAACCUCCUGAACUUAAACUCAGUAAGCCAGUGAUGGAGGAAACUACAGUCAAUCUGAUCUGCUCUGCUGAAGCCCCCUGCCCCAAACAACCUCCUACAGUAUCCUGGUCUAACAUCCCUAAAUCUGCCCACAGUACAACACAGUUACAGGAGAAACCUGAUAAAACCCAGUCAGUGGUUUCAAAGCUGACCUUCAAAGUUUCAUACAAAGAUAACAGAAGGAACAUCACCUGCACUGCUACAUAUCCAAGAAAUACACCUGAUGCCUCAACUGUGGAGACUAUAGUGAUGCUACGAGUCCUGUUUCCUCCAAAAGAAACUCACAUCAUCAUUACUCCAUCUGUUGGCACUAAUGUGAGUUUGACCUGCAAAAGCAGCACAAAUCCAUCAAAUGACUUGAACUACACCUGGUAUAAACAUGGAGAGGAGACGCCUAUAGCUUGGGGAAUUAAAAUUAAUUUAACGCAAACUCAAAUAGGAUCAUACCUUUGCACUGCACAAAAUAAAUAUGGAAAUCAGUCAUCAGAAGAGGUUCAUCACACAGGACAGAGUGGACUCUCUCAUCUGGUGAUAUUUGGCUGCACAGGAGGACUUUUGGCCUUUUUUCUGUUGUCUGCUGUAUUUUUCUACUCUAUGAGAACAAAGGCUUCAAGACAGGCCCAUGUUAUUGGAAGUGAUCAGGCUGAGGAUAGAAACAGAGACACAAUGGCUAUCUGUACUAACAAUGUCACUGCAAUCAGCAAGAAUGGCGAGAAGAAAGAAACUGAUGAUCUCCACUAUGGUGAAAUUGACUUCUCCAAACUCCAGACGGGCCACAAGACAGAGGAACUCUCAAACAAUGUCUCAGAGACAGAGUAUUCUGAGCUUCAAGUGACACAGAGAUAGAGACAAAUCAACCGCACCCAGAAAAUGGACAAUGUUCAGAAAAAAAGACUGUUCAUCAUUCAAGAUCAUACAGAAACAACAUGAGGAAAAUGAAUACAGCUAUAUUUUAUGGAAAGGGCAAUAGGAAGAGUACGGAGUUGGCCUGUCAUGGAGAAGAAAGGGAAGUGCAAAUACCCUGGUUGCAGGGGGAUCCUCUGCAUGAAGUGCAGCAAAUGUGACUUACACCUUUGCAUCACAGCUGAAAGGAACUGUUUUUGCAGUUUCAUGGGAUGUCAUGAAAUUUGACAUGAGUUGGAUUGAGACGGGUGCACAUGGAUGGACUGGAAAAACCCACACUGAGGGCCAGCUGUGGCCUAAUGGUCAGAGUGUUGGACUAGUUACCCAAAGGUCACCAGUUUGAGUCUCUGUGUUGGCAGGAGUUGUAGGUGGGAGGUUGUAAAUGAACAGCGCUCUCUUCCACCCUCAAUACCCAUGAAUGAAGUGCCCUUGAGCAAGGCAUUGAACCCCCAUUUGCUCCCCGGGUGCUGGAUCUAUAGCUGCCCACUGCUCCGGGUGUGUUUUCAUGGUGUGUUCACUUCUCACUGCUGUGUGUGUGUGUGCACUUGGAUGGGUUAGUAUGGGUUACCAAACUUGGCAAAUGUCACAACUUUCACUUUUCAUUUUACUUCAGGGAGCCGCCUAUCGUAAUACCUGUAUUUUAUGUUUUCAUGUUCUACAUGGUAUUAGUGCAUGUUCCAAGCUGCCAUACAUUUACUUAACUUGUAUAAAAUACUUUCGAAAAUAUUUGUUUUUGUUGUUGGAAACUUUGUGGAUGUAAAACUAUAAAAAGUUGAUGAAUUUGAUAUCCAUAUAUGGUACAAAAGCACAUUUUUUUGUCCGUUUGCAAGAACUAUAAUAAUACUUUUAAGUACCAUUUUGAAGGUUAAAUGAUACGAACCUACCUACUUUUGGUUUGCACGAGUUCCAAGUAUAACAAUCUAUCAAUAUCUAAAAGAAAUGUCAAUUUAAAUAGAAAAAGAUAAUCAUAAUUUAAUAGAAAAUCUACUUUUUUGGCCAUUUUCCAUUGUGGUACACUGCUGUCAUAUGGCAACGUUUCCUAAAUACCCAAUAUACGUUGUUUACUAUAUAUGUUAUGCUUACCAAGCAUGAUGAGCCUUGGUGGUAGGGUUUGCUCAGUCUCUUUUGACAUCUUGGUGGAAGUUUCCUUGAAAACAACAUAAAAAAAGACCACUCAGCAAAAACUUAGCAAUGUUCCCUUUAAAAAGGUUUAUUUUAAUAGUUUUAUUUAAUUAUGUAUAUACAUUUUGACUUGUUGUACUAAUUGUAAUGUUUGCCUAAACAGAGAUGCAAGGGUUUCUUUAACUGGCACAUACUGACAAAAGCGUCCUUUACCAGCUGUGUCAGUGCCCAGGUAUAUCUGAUUUGGCUCAACAAAGUUAAACUUUUGUUUGAAGAAAUGUUUUCUGGUUUUGUCAGAAUUUAACUGACUCUCAUUGUACAAAGUUAAAAGAUCUUGUGUAACUAGUUCAUCAAUUUUGUCUAUGUCACAUGGUGGUAUAUCUGAUGAAGAUAACAGCUUUUCUUUUAGUCUAACAAGCAUGGCCUGCUUUCCAUCAACAUGAACUGCUUGAAAUUCCUGGAUAAUUGAUUGAAUUGUACUGGCAGGUAACAACAUUUUGCCUUGCAUCUUUAGGUAAAACAGAGCCAAGUUAUGUAAAAAAAAAAAGCCUCUUCAUCAGUAUUUAUGUGACUUUGAAAAGAUGAUGUAGACGGUACCUCACUAUUAAUGUACAGAUCUAUAGGAGGUAGUUGACCAUCAAGAGACUGAUCUGUUGGUGUUGCUGUCACACCCAGUUUGUGGAGACUAAACUGCUGCACCGGACCUUCCCAGACACCAAGCAAUUUCGGCCCAGAACCGGCCCACA